CUUUUUUGCUUCUGUAGUUGGGCCAGCGGGAGGGGGUGUUAUGGCUUGUUAUAGGCUCUUUUGUUCCCACUGCCUGGCAGCCUGGUGAGCCAGCCAGGAGUAUCACAGCUCUUUCAUUCCCACAGUUCAACAAGUGGGAGGGCCGGCACCCAAUGGCUUCUUCUCUCCCAUCAUUUGGCAAGCAAGAGGGAGAGUUACAGCUCUUUUACUCCCACUGCCUGUGGCUCAGCGAGUUCCGGGUUCUUGUCCUGUGACCAAGAGGAAUAAGGCUGAUGGAGGUUUUGCCAGCUUGAACAUGUAGUUUCCAAAAUGACUCUGGUUAUCAAUAUCCAUCCAGUAGAAGGAGAAAGAGGAAGAAGAUUGUGUGGUAGAAGACUGAAUGAGCCAGUCCUGGAGUCCCUACUACUCAUACUCCAUUGGCCGGAACUCAGUCACAUGGCCACAUCUGACCAUGAGGCAGUCUGGGAAAUGGAUUCCAGCUGUGUUCCAAUGAGGAAGCAGGUUCGAUGAAGAUCUAACCAAUCUCUCUCUCACAGAGGCGAUUUGCCACGAGAAGGACAUGGCCUGGUGGCUACUGCACCUUCAGCUUCCGCACACAUAAAUACAUAUGGAACACACCGGACCUAGUCUCCAGCCUGGAGCCAUGCCUACAGCAUGGCUGAAGCAUGAAGCAGGGCUAACUGGCCACAUUCAACCUCCAUCAGCUGAAGCACAAUACACCUGCAAACCUAUGAGUCUGAGAAUAAAGGCUUGUUAUUGAAAGCCACUAAGAUUUGGGGUGGUUUGUUAUCCAACAUUCUGAUGGCAACAGCAGUAAUAGAUCACCAGGUCUUUGUGAUUUUGCUUUUAAAUAAAUUCACUAAUUCUAAA
rnacentral:lncRNA from 1 species